AAGUCCUAAAAAAAAUUAAUAUAUACUUUAGCCUUUAAACUUGACAACUUAUACCUAACUCGUGCCUGAACUUUUUUCAGACCUAACUAGUACAUGAACUUGGAAACUAUUAACCAAGUCGGGUUUUUUUAAGUACUUGGCCGACGCCAUUAAAUUUUAUGCUAACAAUAGUUCUUGAAAAUGUUAUCGUUUAUAAACAGCAUAAACUGCCUAAUAUAAUUGAUUCUCAUAACAUCUAACACACCGUUGAGCAGAAAAAGAC
rnacentral:lncRNA from 1 species